rnacentral:rRNA from 1 species
UACGAAGGGGGGCUAGCGUUGCUCGGAAUCACUGGGCGUAAAGCGCACGUAGGCGGCUUUCUAAGUCAGGGGUGAAAUCCUGGAGCUCAACUCCAGAACUGCCUUUGAUACUGGGAAGCUCGAGUCCGGAAGAGGUGAGUGGGAAUUCCCAGUGUAGAGGUGAAAUUCGUAGAUAUUCGCAAGAACACCAGUGGCGAAGGCGGCUCACUGGCCCGAUACUGACGCUGAGGCACGAAAGCGUGGGGAGCAA